rnacentral:rRNA from 1 species
CCUACGGGUGGCAGCAGUGAGGAAUAUUGGUCAAUGGGCGCGAGCCUGAACCAGCCAAGUAGCGUGAAGGAUGACUGCCCUACGGGUUGUAAACUUCUUUUAUAAAGGAAUAAAGUGAGGCACGUGUGCCUUUUUGUAUGUACUUUAUGAAUAAGGAUCGGCUAACUCCGUGCCAGCAGCCGCGGUAAUACGGAGGAUCCGAGCGUUAUCCGGAUUUAUUGGGUUUAAAGGGAGCGUAGAUGGGAUGUUAAGUUAGUGGUGAAAGUUUGCGGCUCAACCGUAAAAUUGCAAUUGAUACUGGCAGCCUUGAGUACAGUUGAGGUAGGCGGAAUGCGUGGUGUAGCGGUGAAAUGCUUAGAUAUCACGAAGAACACCGAUUGCGAAGGCAGCUUACUAAGCUGCCACUGACAUUGAUGCUCGAAAGUGUGGGUAUCAAACAGGAUUAGAUACCCUAGUAGUC